rnacentral:rRNA from 1 species
AUUGAACGCUGGCGGCAUGCCUUACACAUGCAAGUCGAACGGCAGCACGGGUGCUUGCACCUGGUGGCGAGUGGCGAACGGGUGAGUAAUACAUCGGAACAUGUCCUGUAGUGGGGGAUAGCCCGGCGAAAGCCGGAUUAAUACCGCAUACGAUCUACGGAUGAAAGCGGGGGACCUUCGGGCCUCGCGCUAUAGGGUUGGCCGAUGGCUGAUUAGCUAGUUGGUGGGGUAAAGGCCUACCAAGGCGACGAUCAGUAGCUAGUCUGAGAGGACGACCAGCCACACUGGGACUGAGACACGGCCCAGACUCCUACGGGAGGCAGCAGUGGGGAAUUUUGGACAAUGGGCGAAAGCCUGAUCCAGCAAUGCCGCGUGUGUGAAGAAGGCCUUCGGGUUGUAAAGCACUUUUGUCCGGAAAGAAAUCCUUGGCCCUAAUACGGUCGGGGGAUGACGGUACCGGAAGAAUAAGCACCGGCUAACUACGUG